UACGGGAGGCAGCAGUGGGGAAUAUUGCACAAUGGGCGCAAGCCUGAUGCAGCCAUGCCGCGUGUAUGAAGAAGGCCUUCGGGUUGUAAAGUACUUUCAGUCGUGAGGAAGGUGUUAAGGUUAAUAACCUUAGCAAUUGACGUUAGCGACAGAAGAAGCACCGGCUAACUCCGUGCCAGCAGCCGCGGUAAUACGGAGGGUGCGAGCGUUAAUCGGAAUUACUGGGCGUAAAGGGCACGCAGGCGGUUAAUUAAGUUGGAUGUGAAAUCCCCGGGCUUAACCUGGGAAUGGCAUUCAAGACUGGUUAGCUAGAGUCUUGUAGAGGGGGUAGAAUUCCAUGUGUAGCGGUGAAAUGCGUAGAGAUGUGGAGGAAUACCGGUGGCGAAGGCGGCCCCUGGGACAAAGGGCUGACGCUCAUGUGCGAAAGCGUGGGGAGCGAAAC
rnacentral:rRNA from 1 species